rnacentral:rRNA from 1 species
GACGAACGCUGGCGGCGUGCUUAACACAUGCAAGUCGAACGGAAAGGCCCUGCUUUUGUGGGGUGCUCGAGUGGCGAACGGGUGAGUAACACGUGAGUAACCUGCCCUUGACUUUGGGAUAACUUCAGGAAACUGGGGCUAAUACCGGAUAGGAGCUCCUGCUGCAUGGUGGGGGUUGGAAAGUUUCGGCGGUUGGGGAUGGACUCGCGGCUUAUCAGUUUGUUGGUGGGGUAGUGGCUUACCAAGGCUUUGACGGGUAGCCGGCCUGAGAGGGUGACCGGCCACAUUGGGGCUGAGAUAGGGCCCAGACUCCGAGGGGAGGCAGAAGUGGGGAUUAUUGCACAAGGGGGGGGAGCCUGAGGCAGAAACCCCGCGUGGGGGAUGAGGGCUUUCGGUUUGUAAACCGCUUGCGCCUGUGACGAAGCGUGAGGGACGGUAAUGGGUAAAGAAGCACCGGCUAACUACGUG